UGAGGAAUUUUGGACAAUGGGGGAAACCCUGAUCCAGCGACGCCGCGUGGAGGACGAAGGUCUUCGGAUUGUAAACUCCUUUUCUUCGGGAAUAAUAGAUCUGUAGAAAUACAGGAAUUGAAUGUACCGGAGGAAUAAGCCACGGCUAACUUCGUGCCAGCAGCCGCGGUAAUACGAAGGUGGCAAGCGUUACUCGGAAUUACUAGGCGUAAAGCGCAGGUAGGUGGUUGUGUAAGUCUGCUGUGAAAGCUCCCGGCUCAACUGGGAGAGGUCAGCGGAUACUGCAUAGCUAGAGUGUGGGAGAGGGUACUGGAAUUCCCGGUGUAGCGGUGAAAUGCGCAGAGAUCGGGAGGAACACCUAAGGCGAAAGCAGGUACCUGGACCAUUACUGACACUAAGCUGCGAAAGCUAGGGGAGCAAACAGG
rnacentral:rRNA from 1 species